rnacentral:tRNA from 2 species
AGGGGAAAUAGAAGGGUUACUGCUAAUAACUUUCUGUCAGUUAAAUUUGACUUCUCCUU